rnacentral:rRNA from 1 species
GUCUUUAAGAUAAUUAUUUAAAGUCCAAUCUGCUCACUGAAUUUUUAAAGAGCCGCAGUAUUUUAACUGUGCAAAGGUAGCAUAAUCAAUAGUUUUUUAAUUGAAAACUGGAAUGAAAGAUUAGACGAGAAACAAUCUUUCUUUAUUUUAAUAAAUUUAAUUUAAAAUUUAAGUUAAAAUUCUUAAAUGUAACUAAAAGACGAGAAGACCCUAUAGAUUUUUAUUUUAAAAUUUUAUAUAUAAAUUGGUUAUAGAAUUAAAAAUUUAAUUGGGGCGAUUUUGUAAAAAUAAUAACUUAAUUUAAUUAAAACAUAAAUGAUUGAAUAUUUUGAUCUAAAUUUUUUAAUUGAAAGAUUAAAUUACCUUAGGGAUAACAGCGUAAUUUUAUUUAAGAGUUCAUAUCUAUAAUAAAGAUUGCGACCUCGAUGUUGAAUUAAGGAAUAUAUUGGAGUAGAAAUUAAUAAUAAUUAGUCUGUUCGACUAUUAAAUUCU